GAUGAACUCUGGCGGCGUGCCUAAUACAUGCAAGUCGAGCGAACAGACGAGGAGCUUACUCCUCUGACGUUAGCGGCGGACGGGUGAGUAACACGUGGAUAACCUACCUAUAAGACUGGGAUAACUUCGGGAAACCGGAGCUAAUACCGGAUAACAUGUUGAACCGCAUGGUUCAACAGUGAAAGACGGUCUUGCUGUCACUUAUAGAUGGAUCCGCGUCGCAUUAGCUAGUUGGUAAGGUAACGGCUUACCAAGGCAACGAUGCGUAGCCGACCUGAGAGGGUGAUCGGCCACACUGGAACUGAGACACGGUCCAGACUCCUACGGGAGGCAGCAGUAGGGAAUCUUCCGCAAUGGGCGAAAGCCUGACGGAGCAACGCCGCGUGAGUGAAGAAGGUCUUCGGAUCGUAAAACUCUGUUAUUAGGGAAGAACAAAUGUGUAAGUAACUAUGCACGUCUUGACGGUACCUAAUCAGAAAGCCGCGGCUAACUACGUG
rnacentral:rRNA from 1 species